rnacentral:piRNA from 1 species
UUUAAACAAAUGUUCUUUUUAGGUCCAUAA